UUCCUAUGCACAGACUGGGCUGGGCCUGAUC
rnacentral:piRNA from 1 species